UUUGUCUUACAGGUUCAAUAUACAGUCAGCCUCUUGUAAGAUAAAGAACAAAUCCCAAGAUCCAAGGCUUGCUUCAAAGUUAAGAGACCAUUCUGUGCCACAAAGAAAUUGUUCAGGAAAAGGAGAAGUGGUGGAUAUUCAUUUUUGGUACGGUACAGUUCAAAGAGAUUUUCAAAAUGGUCAUGGAAGAUCAAAGGGAGGACAACUGAAAAAACUGAAAGAUACAGAAGGAAAAAGAGCAAGGAAAUAUAUAUGGAAUAAUUAUGAAAUGGGGAGGAUGUACACAAUCUUGUCUGAAUUUGACCUGUGAAGAUUUCCCAUAAUGUAUGCUGGAAUAAUCCAUAACUUGAUUUUUCAUAAAUUUACAAUAGAGAAUACAUGACAAAUGUUAUUGCUGAUAUUUCAAUGUUGCUUUGGACACUUUCAUGUCAUAUGGUAUUUUUAUACAUUACCUAAUUAUGUUAUUCAUUUGUACAUGUACAGUAUACAUGUUUAACUACUAAAUCAUUUUGCUGAAAUCUUAUAAUUUGUACUCAUGUUAGAAUAUGUUUAAUACAUGUAUCGACAAAUGCUA